rnacentral:tRNA from 2 species
GCUCCCGUAGCUCAGGGGAUAGAGCGUCGGUUUCCGAAGCCGUGCGUCGCACGUUCGAUUCGUGUCGGGAGCACCA